rnacentral:rRNA from 1 species
GAUGAACGCUAGCUACAGGCUUAACACAUGCAAGUCGAGGGGAAACGAUAUUGGAAGCUUGCUUCCGAUAGGCGUCGACCGGCGCACGGGUGAGUAACGCGUAUCCAACCUGCCCACCACUUGGGGAUAACCUUGCGAAAGUAAGACUAAUACCCAAUGAUAUCUCUAGAAGACAUCUGAAGGAGCUGAAAGAUUCAUCGGUGAUGGAUGGGGAUGCGUCUGAUUAGCUUGUUGGCGGGGUAACGGCCCACCAAGGCGACGAUCAGUAGGGGGUCUGAGAGGAAGGGCCCCCACAUUGGAACUGAGACACGGUCCAAACUCCUACGGGAGGCAGCAGUGAGGAAUAUUGGUCAAUGGGAGAGAGCCUGAACCAGGCAAGUAGCGUGCAGGAUGACGGCCCUAUGGGUUGUAAACUGCUUUUAUAAGGGAAUAAAGUGAGUCUCGUGAGACUUUUUGCAUGUACCUUAUGAAUAAGGACCGGCUAAUUCCGUGCCAGCCGCCGCAGUAA